rnacentral:rRNA from 1 species
GCGAACGCUGGCGGCAGGCCUAAAACAUGCAAGUUGAACGAACUCUUCGGAGUUAGUGGCGGUCGGGUGAGUACCACGUGGGAACGUGCAUUUUGGUUCGGAAUAACUCAGGGAAACUUGUGCUAAUCCCGAAUGUGUCCUUCGGGGGAAAGAUUUAUUGCAAUUGGAGGGGCCCGCGUCUGAUUAGCUGGUUGGUGAGGUAAAGGCACACCACGGCGCCGAACAGUAGCUGGUCUGAGAGAAUGACCAGCCAAACUGGGACUGGGAAACAGCCCAGACUCCUACGGGAGGGAGCAAUGGGGAAUCUUGCACAAUGGGCGAAAGCCUGACGGAGCCAUGCCGCGUGAAUGAUGAAGGUCCGAGGAUAGUAAAAUUCUUGCACCGGUGACGAUAAUGACGGUACCCGGAGAAGAAGCCCCGGCUAACUACGUG